CUGCCAUCGGGUGUUCAGCAGGAGAGUGAAGGAAUGCCCCGCACACUGUAGCAGCAAUCAGAGGCUGAACCUGCCAGCAGAGCUGAUACUAAUGGACAAAUGCUUCCUAGGUUCCCCGACUUAUCCCUGCCUCUCCUGACAGCCCAUCCAUCCACGGUGCCUUGGAAGUGCCCACCCUUAGAGCUAUCUUUGGUCAUCUUCCUGAGCUGCUGAUCUGUUUCUGAAGGAUUUCAAAAAAAUGGGAUCACGUGGAGUUCUUACUCGUCGAUUCGGUGGACUGGAGGCUCCUGAUGCAGCUGCUAUCGGCAGACCUCCUGGACUGCCCGGGGAAGGGAGUGGGAG